rnacentral:rRNA from 1 species
CCAUGGAGCUUUAAACUUAAUAUGUACUUCUACGCACACACAUCAUAUAGCCAAAGAAAUUUAUGUAUUAGUUUUGGGUUGGGGGGACCGCGGAGAAAAAACUAUCCUCCGCAACUAAUAGGCCAACGCCUUUAUCCAUGAACUACACUUCUAAGAAUCAGUAAACUGAUGUUUUAUGACCCAAUUAAUUGAUCAACGAACCAAGUUA